rnacentral:lncRNA from 10 species
ACGAAAAGAAUGUUUCAAAACUGCUCUAUGAAAAGCAAUGUUAUCCUCUGGGAGUUGAACACAAGCCUCACAAAGGAGUUUUUGAGAAUGCUUCUGUUUACUUUUUAUGCUAGACAGAAGAAUUCUCAGUAACUUCCUUGUGUUGUGUGUAUUCAACUCACAGAGUUGAACGAUCCUUUACACAGAGCAGACUUGAAACACUCUUUUUCUGGAAUUUGCAAGUGGAGAUUUCAGCCGCUUUGUGGUCAAUGGUAGAAAAGGAAAUAUCUUCGUAUAGAAACAAGACAGAAUGAUUCUCAGAAACUCCUUUGUGAUGUGUGCGUUCAACUCACAGAGUUUAACCUUUCUUUUCAUAGAGCAGUUAGGAAACACUCUGUUUGUAAAGUCUGCAAGUGGAUAUUCAGACCUCCUUGAGGCCUUCGUUGGAAACGGGAUUUCUUCAUAUUCUGCUAGACAGAAGAAUUC